GGGGCGGCGCCGACGUCCGGAGAGUCGGGCCUGGCUGUAACCCAGGUGCCUCGCGCUGAGUGGGUUCGAAUCCCACCCGCCCCACCG
rnacentral:tRNA from 1 species